GGCUAACUACGUGCCAGCAGCCGCGGUAAUACGUAGGUGGCAAGCGUUAUCCGGAAUUAUUGGGCGUAAAGCGCGCGCAGGUGGUUUCUUAAGUCUGAUGUGAAAGCCCACGGCUCAACCGUGGAGGGUCAUUGGAAACUGGGAGACUUGAGUGCAGAAGAGGAAAGUGGAAUUCCAUGUGUAGCGGUGAAAUGCGUAGAGAUAUGGAGGAACACCAGUGGCGAAGGCGACUUUCUGGUCUGUAACUGACACUGAGGCGCGAAAGCGUGGGGAGCAAACAGGAUUAGAUACCCUGGUAGUCCACGCCGUAAACGAUGAGUGCUAAGUGUU
rnacentral:rRNA from 1 species